rnacentral:rRNA from 1 species
GGUCCCAAGGGUAUGGCUGUUCGCCAUUUAAAGUGGUACGCGAGCUGGGUUUAGAACGUCGUGAGACAGUUCGGUCCCUAUCUACCGUGGGCGUUUGAGACUUGAGGGAUGCUACUCCUAGUACGAGAGGACCGGAGUGGACGCACCUCUGGUGUUCCGGUUGUCACGCCAGUGGCACCGCCGGGUAGCUAUGUGCGGACGAGAUAACCGCUGAAAGCAUCUAAGCGGGAAGCUUUUCCCAAGAUAAGGUCUCACCGGGGACUUGAUCCCCCUGUAGGGCCCUCGAAGACGACGAGGUUGAUAGGCCGGAUGUGGAAGCGCGGUAACGCGUGAAGCUGACCGGUACUAAUUGCCCGUGAGGCUUGACCAU